rnacentral:lncRNA from 1 species
GAAAACUAAGUAUGCAUCCUUAAUAAACAUACAAGAAUUAGUUAUGAAUAAAAUAGAUAAUUGAAUUGCAAUCACAACUUAUCAAAUCACAAUUGGAAGAAAUCAAUUUAAAUCUCAAGCAUGUUCAUGGCUUCAAACUUCCCCCUAACUAAAUAGGGGUUUAGCCACUCAUACUUACAAAGCAAAGAUAAACAAAUUUAAACAUUGAAAACAAAAGAAAGAAAACACCUAAAAACGCUCCAACAAUCCAAUUUGAAUGGCAAACACGUCCAAGGGUCCUCAUUCUUCUCUUUGUAGCGGCACAAGGUGUGGUUUGAUGGAUGAGUGGUAAAUUAUGGUGGUGGAUGGAUAUAGGUGAGUUAUGGUGAAGGGUGGAUGGGUGGAUUGUGUUCUCUUUGGUUUUCUUCCCCCUUAUGGUGAAGGGUGGAUGUAUUUAUAGGCUAGGGAGAGGACCACCAUCUAAUUAAGGUGGUAGUGAUGAGUGUUGUGGUAAUGAGUGGAUGUAAUGGGUGUAGUGGAUGAAUGUUUGGUAAUGAGUGGAUGUAAUGGAUGUAGUGGAUGAGUGUGUGAUGUCCAUGUUUCCCUUUACAUUUGCACACACAUGACCUCCAUCAUUUCAACCACAAAUCAACCCAUUUUCUACCCAUGUGUGUGUGUUUCCUUUGCCCAUGUGUGUGUGUUUCCCUUGCCCAUGUGUGUGUGUUUUUCCUUUUCAUUUGCACACACAUGUUCUUCAUUAUUUCAGCCAACAAUCCACCCAUUUUCUGCCCAUGUCAAACUGUUCAUGCCUUGCCUUUCUCUUUGUGUGUGUGUUGUCCAUGUUUCUGAACCUUUCAGUGUUACAAUGCCCAUAACUUCUUCUAGAAAAAUGAUAUUAACAAUCAGUAAAUUGCUCCAGAAAAUAAACAUCCGUAGCUUUCCACGCAUAUAAGGCUCAUUUUCUCAUUCAUUCUGAGUUGUUCGUAACAUGCUUUCAAAGUCAGCUAAUCUGCACAGGCAGUUUUGACGAAUUUGUUACUUAAUAAUUCACUUGUG